GACGAACGCUGGCGGCGUGCUUAACACAUGCAAGUCGAACGGAAAGGCCCCUUUGGGGGUACUCGAGUGGCGAACGGGUGCGUAACACGUGAGUAACCUGCCCUUGACUUCGGGAUAACUUCAGGAAACUGGGGCUAAUACCGGAUAGGAAUCCUUGCUGCAUGGUGGGGGUUGGAAAGCUUCGGCGGUUUUGGAUGGACUCGCGGCUUAUCAGCUUGUUGGUGGGGUAGUGGCUUACCAAGGCUUUGACGGGUAGCCGGCCUGAGAGGGCGACCGGCCACAUUGGGACUGAGAUACGGCCCAGACUCCUACGGGAGGCAGCAGUGGGGAAGAUUGCACAAUGGGCGGAAGCCUGAUGCAGCAACGCCGCGUGCGGGAUGACGGCCUUCGGGUUGUAAACCGCUUUCAGCAGGGGCGAAGCUUGUGGUGACGGUACCUGCAGAAGAAGCACCGGCUAACUACGUG
rnacentral:rRNA from 1 species